GCUUGACCCAAUGUCAGUUUCCAAGAGCACUUUUCAUAGUGGGUACAGGGAAGUGAUGAAAAUAUAUUAGACAGCAUUUUGGUUGAGAAAAUAGGGGGUAGGAAGGAUUCUUGGCAGAGCUGUGCCCAGAAUUCCCUGUGGUCCUGCAGACGCUUGGGUCCUCAUUGUGGUUUGCUGUGGCCUCAACAUUCCUCUGGCCUUCUCCCAGGAGGAGGUGAGGGAGAGAUCAGUGAAGUUGCAAGUAGUUACACCACCCAAAUUAAGACAGAGAACAGCAACCACGUGACAUGUGUAUCUGCCAAAGGGAAUGGAAAGAGGUCUAUGUUACAUUGUUGAUCCUCCUGUCCCUUCUCAGGGGUGUCAGUCAGAGUCCCACUAGAGAAGAAACAAAGAACCUUCAACAGCAGGUUUAUGAAUAUUAUGGGACAAUGGCUGCUUCUCCUUGAGGAGGAGUAGAGAAGCAAGCUUGCUUACUGUUUCUUUUUCUUUUCUUUUUUUUUUUUUUUUUUGAGACAGGGUUUUACUCCCGCGGCCCACAUUGGAGUGGAUCGGGGCAAUCUCGGCUUACUGCAGCCUUCACCUCUCAGGCUCAAGUGAUUCUUCUGCCUCAGCCUCCCAAGUAGUUGGGACUGCAGGGAUGCACCAUCAUGCCCAGCUAAUUUUUGUAGUUUUUGUGUAGGAGGGCUCUCGCCACGUUGCCCAGGCAGGUCUCGAACUCCUAGGCUCAAGCAAUCGGCCCACCUCCGGCCUCCCAAAGUGCUGGGAUUACAGGCGUGAGCCAUGGCGCCGGCCUGUUUACUGUUUCUGUGCAUGUGAACGUGCGUCCUUUCUGAACUCUCACGGGUUGAUGGCUAAAUGUGCCACUAAAUGAUUUAACCCAGGGUUUAGAAGCCAGCCCUCUGACACCUUAACAUCAGAAAGGCAGUUCUCCUAGAGUCAGGCCUGAAACAAGCAUUCUUCCUGGGAAACACCCGUUAUUGUAGAGGGGCCUGUAGACAGGGAACUGCGGUGGUUGGAAGGUGUGCGCACGGCCCUGUGAUUUAGGACCAGAGUUUCCAGAGCCUGUGCCCUGUGCCAUGACCUCACAGAGUGCUGCUGAGUUUGUAUCUCCCCUUCCCCCUUGGGUGGGCCUGGAAGGCCAGAGGGGGCUGGAGUUGGGGUUUGCUUUUCCCCAAGUAGGUUAGACUGAUGAAAAAUUUGGGUCUGUUAGACUCUGGUGAAAUAAUUCCCCCUAAAGCAGCCCUCAUGAGAACAGGGUGUAUUUCAAAAUAAUCCUUUUCCCCUGGCUGUAAGUAAGUGGGGAUAUUUCCUCCCUCCCUUUUUUUUUUUUUUUUUGAGACAAGUUCACCCUCUGUCACCCAGGCUGGAGUGCAGUGGCGCGAUCUUGGCUCACUGCAACCUCUGCCUUUGGGUUCAAGCGAUUCUCCUGCCUCAGCCUCCUGAGUAGCUGGGACUAUAGGCGCGCGCCACCACGCCCGGCUAAUUUUUUGUAUUUUAGUAGAGAUGAGGUUUCACCAUGUUGCCCAGGGUAGACUCAAACUCCUGAGCUCAGGCAAUUGGCCUGCCUCGGCCUCUCAAAGUGAGCUGGGAUUACAGGCGUGAGCCACCGCGCCUGGCCGAUUUUUCCUCUCUAAUGUGGGAACCUGGUCGAGCUCUCGGAGGUAAAAUUCACCAAGCGCAGGUCCCCCAUGACUGGGUUCCCCUGGAGUUUUUCUCUCACUUGUCCAGGUGGCAUCUCCAGAAAUUCAUGAGGGGCAGCUCAAGUCCCUGGCACUGGCCCCGCAGAGGUUCUGCUCCUGUCAGCUGAGGUUCUCAGAACCCACUUGUCUGUGUCUCCAGAUUUGGGGGCCGUGCUUUGCCUGGUGACUCAGUUCUCCGACGGGUGAAGAAGAGUUGUUGAUUUUCAGUUUGUUCAUCCUUUUCCUUCCGUGUGGAUGGGAACUGGACUGGACCCUGGAGCCCGGAGCCAAGAAGUCAGGAAGAUGAUUCCACAGGAGCUCAGGUGUGUCUGUCGCCUGCACCCAUGGUCCCUCCCCGAGAAAGCAGACCCACGGCCCCUUCAAGUCCCUCCCUCCACACUGCCCACCCUGCAGCAGGGCCUUCUUCAUUCCCCUUCACCGGUGCUCACUGCAGGUAACAGAGGGGCUGGGUGUGGUCAUUGUGCUGGACCCUGGAGCAUCUGGGCAUGCUCAUGCUGAUCUGGGCAUACACCGCUGCAGUGUCCCUGAGAGAAGGAAAAUAAUCCAA
rnacentral:lncRNA from 1 species